CACUGAGGAAGGGAAAGCAACCUGUCCAUCCUUUCUGUGUCCAUCACAUUGGCUUGUCUACUUGGCGGCCUCUCCUUGUCUACCGGCUUUGUCCCUUGGACCCUCAGUAGAUUGGAUGGCCAAAGUCUUCUCUCAGUGACUCAUUCGAUCAUGGACAGAGACACCGUGAGCUCCUGAAGACAGCAGAAA